UACGUAGGGUGCAAGCGUUGUCCGGAAUUAUUGGGCGUAAAGAGCUCGUAGGCGGUUCGUCGCGUCGGCUGUGAAAUCCCGAGGCUCAACCUCGGGUCUGCAGUCGAUACGGGCGGACUGGAGUUCGGCAGGGGAGACUGGAAUUCCGUGGUGUAGCGGUGAAAUGCGCAGAUAAUCAGGAGGAACACCGGUGGCGAAGGCGGGUCUCUGGGCCGAUACUGACGCUGAGACGCGAAAGCGUGGGGGAGCGAACAGG
rnacentral:rRNA from 1 species